GAUGGACUUUUAACAUCCGUGCUUUUUUAAUGACUUUCUAUUUACGAUAAUUCAUACGUAUUAUUUUCUUGCCUGACUUUUAAUAGAUUGAUAUGGAUACACUGAAAAUACUCUGUAACAUGAAGCAAGUGUUAAUUUGGAAAACAUCAGCGUGACGUUGACACGCUAUAAAACACUUUAUAGUUGAGGAAGCUCGAAAGUCGUGAGUAACGGUGAAUUGCAAGAGCCGGCUGAGUUUAAUUCACGUCACAGUUUUCACGACUUUAAAUAACCUACCUUGCAGCCUGAAACCUCACAACCUACCGUCUGACGUCGUAAAGAUUAAUCACAGUCGUGGAUACUUUUUAAAAUAGAAUAAUUCUUCUCAAAUUGGACCAAACGACCGACAUGUUUUUGGAAGCUACAAGGAUCAGUUUGCUGGAUGACGCGUAGGGAAAAUAUUCUGAGAAAAUUUUGAUCGAUCGAAAUAGCGAAAAUCGUUUUUUAUUUUAAAAUUUAAGCAACGUGUUUUCCACAAUUAUGUCGCGAUUCACGGAUUACAAAUCGACCGGCAGAUGAUUCUCUCUCGAUCGAUGUUCAAAGAAUAAGAUCUUCAAAGACAGAAUUUGCUGAGAAAAACGAGCUUGAAAAUUUCUCACGUACAUUUAACCUCGGCUAAGUAGCACAAACUACUCUUUCAUCAACAGGAGAUUAUUUUAGGUACGAAAAGAAGCCAGAGAAUAACAUUUAUUCGUUUAAGGCUUCAUUUUCGAGAAGAUAAAGUCCGAUGGAAAAAAUUUAUUUUUCUCCAAGACAAAGCAUAUUCUAAAAGAAUUUUAUCCUGAAUUUUCCGCUUAUUCUCACGCGUGGUUUUAUCUCCUGUCGAUUAAUUGCUCCUGUUCGAUUCGCAAUUAGCCAAGUUUCAAGUAUACUCGUCACAUGUUUAAGUUCGAUUUUCUCGGAAAUGAAAUUUUCUUAUUCUACGAAAUAAUUGUUUUCUCUUUUUUUGACUCAUUUUUACAUCAUCAGUUGCGACAUAACUCUUGAAAACGCGCUGUUUAAAUUUCCCUUUCAGGCUACUAGAAAAGUUGUAAAGAAAAUUG